rnacentral:rRNA from 1 species
AUCCCGAACACGGAAGUUAAGCUCUUCAGCGCCGAUGGUAGUUGGGGGUUUCCCCCUGCAAGAGUAGGACGUCGCCAGGC